AGAGCCAAGAAUGACUUGCCGGCCGCAAUUGUUGAGGCUGCCCGCCGGGGGGUCAUUCUUGCUCU
rfam:Ricinus communis cultivar Hale ctg_1100012283965, whole genome shotgun sequence.